rnacentral:lncRNA from 1 species
GACACGUCGUUCUCAGCAGCUGAAGCCAUGUGCUGUGACUAUCUUUGGAGCCUCCCCAGCCCUGUUUAGUGCACAGCUGAACUGUAACUGUUGCAAACAUCUGGAGUGGAUGAGAUGGGAAAGGAGACCCGCAGUGAUUGUGGAUUCUGGGGAAGAUGGACCAGUGGUGGUGUGGUAGAUAGGUUGGGAGUCUGGAUGCCUGCGUGAGCUUUUGUGCAUCUCACACAUGCAGUAGCCCAUGGGAGCCAGAAGAAGGUGCCAGGUCCCUCGGAACUGGAGUCCUAGGUGAUUGUGAGCCACCACGUGUGCACCGGGAACUGAACCCAGGCCGUCUGCAAGAGCAAUAAACCAUCUUAACCGCGGCGUCAUCUCUCCAGCCCCGACUUUAAGUAAAUUAUUGAUGACCUUCCCAAACAGAAUGUACUAGGUCCAGAUGGGUUGGGUGAAUUCUGGGUGAAUUCUUCCAAGCAGUGAAGGAGGAAAAAUAUAUCAGUUCUCUGUAAUGUCUGUCAGAGGAUGAGCUUAGAAGGAACACUUCUUGAUCCACACUAGGAGCCCAGCAUCACCCUAAGAACAAACGAGGAGAAGGUACUUCAGUAAAUGGAAGCAACAAAAGCCCAUGAACACAGAUCCAGACAGCCUCAACGACAAGCUACUCGCAAGCUGAAUCUAAUGAUGCAUGAAAGGAAAAACAUACCAUAACCAAGUGGGACGGAUGCCAGAUAAGAACGGCCAUCCAACAUUCAAAAAUAAGCUCCUAUAAUCCAGGUUAGUGGGCAGAGUAAUGAAAAUUAUAUGUGAGAAUAUCAAAAGAUAAAGAAAGAGAUCUGAGAAAAAAAAACCCAAACAACAACAACAACAACAACAAAAAACCAAACACCAUUCAGUAUAAAAGUCUUCAGUAGGUAGCAUACAGCUGAAAUCAGGCAGGAUUGUGGUCUUUUUAUAGAAUUUUUAAAAAACUUAAUAACGUGCACUUAAGGCUAUUCUGUGCUGUUCUGUGAUUUUAUGAUUGAUUUUCAAUCGUGAAAUGCCUCAUUGUUUAUGUUUACGCCUUUUAUUCUUUUGUCUGGAGAGCACAUCUUGGCCUCUGAGCCAUUUGUAAUUAUUAAUAAAACUGUUGUAGACAACAAAAGGUUAUCUGCAAAGGA